rnacentral:rRNA from 1 species
AGUGAAUAGAUACCCCGGUAGUCCUAGCCGUAAACGAUACUCGCUAGGUGUCGGCCACGGUGCGACCGUUGUCGGUGCCGUAGGGAAAGCCGUGAAGCGAGCCACCUGGGAAGUACGGCCGCAAGGCUGAAACUUAAAGGAAUUGGCGGGGGAGCACCACAACGGGUGGAGCUUGCGGUUUAAUCGGAUUCAACGCCGGAAAUCUUACCGGGACCGACAGCAAUAUGAAGGCCAGGCUGAAGACUUUGCCGGAUUAGCUGAGAGGUGGUGCAUGGCCGUCGUCAGUUCGUACUGUGAAAGCAUCCUGUUAAGUCAGGCAACGAGCGAGACCCACGCCCACAGUUGCCAGCGUACUCUCCGGAGUGACGGGUACACUGUGGGGACCGCCGCUGCUAAAGCGGAGGAAGGAAUGGGCAACGGUAGGUCAGUAUGCCCCGAAUAUCCCGGGCUACACGCGAGCUACAAUGGUUGGUACAAUGGGUAUCUACCCGAAAGGGGAUGGAAAUCUCCUAAAGCCAAUCUUAGUUCGGAUUGAGGGCUGCAACUCGCCCUC